rnacentral:rRNA from 1 species
AGGGUUUGAUUCUGGCUCAGGAUGAACGCUAGCGGCAGGCUUAACACAUGCAAGUCGAGGGGUAACAGGGAGUGCUUGCACUCCGCUGACGACCGGCGCACGGGUGCGUAACGCGUAUGCAACCUACCUUUUACAGGGGGAUAGUCAAGAGAAAUUUUGAAUAAUACCCCAUACGAUCUUAGUCACACCUGUGAUUUAGAGGAAAACUUCGGUGGUAAAAGAUGGGCAUGCGUCCUAUUAGUUAGAUGGUGAGGUAACGGCUCCCCAUGACUACGAUAGGUAGGGGUCCUGAGAGGGAGAUCCCCCACACUGGUACUGAGACACGGACCAGACUCUUACGGGAGGCAGCAGUGAGGAAUAUUGGACAAUGGAGGCAACUCUGAUCCAGCCAUGCCGCGUGCAGGAAGACUGCCCUAUGGGUUGUAAACUGCUUUUAUACAGGAAGAAACACUCCCUCGUGAGGGGGCUUGACGGUACUGUACGAAUAAGGAUCGGCUAACUCCGUGCCAGCCGCCGCGGUAAUAC